rnacentral:tRNA from 1 species
GCCGGGGUGGUGAAAUCGGCAUACACAGGGGACUUAAAAUCCCCCGGGAGCAAUCCCAUGCGGGUUCGAGUCCCGCCCCCGGCA